rnacentral:rRNA from 1 species
UACGUAGGGUGCAAGCGUUGUCCGGAAUUAUUGGGCGUAAAGAGCUCGUAGGUGGCCUGUCGCGUCGGCUGUGAAAACUCGGGGCUCAACUCCGAGCUUGCAGUCGAUACGGGCAGGCUAGAGUUCGGCAGGGGAGACUGGAAUUCCUGGUGUAGCGGUGAAAUGCGCAGAUAUCAGGAGGAACACCGGUGGCGAAGGCAGCUUGCUAGGUCAUUUCUGACACUGAGAUGCGAAAGCGUGGGAAGCGAACGGG